rnacentral:rRNA from 1 species
AAGCGUUUGCAGCCAGACUUGGCCGCGGUUGCUCAACCUGUCUCUGACCGGUGCACUCUUCCGCGGCCGGGCCAGCAUCGGUUCGGGCGGUCGGAUAAAGGCCUUGGGAAUGUAUCUCCACUCGUUGGUGAAUUAUAGCCCUCGGUACAAUACGACCUGCCCGGACCGAGGACAGCAAUCUACGGAUGCUGGCGUAAUGGCUGUCAACGG